UAGGGAAUCUUCCGCAAUGGGCGAAAGCCUGACGGAGCAACGCCGCGUGAGUGAUGAAGGUCUUCGGAUCGUAAAACUCUGUUAUUAGGGAAGAACAAAUGUGUAAGUAACUAUGCACGUCUUGACGGUACCUAAUCAGAAAGCCACGGCUAACUACGUGCCAGCAGCCGCGGUAAUGCGUAGGUGGCAAGCGUUAUCCGGAAUUAUUGGGCGUAAAGCGCGCGUAGGCGGUUUUUUUAGUCUGAUGUGAAAGCCCACGGCUCAACCGUGGAGGGUCAUUGGAAACUGGAAAACUUGAGUGCAGAAGAGGAAAGUGGAAUUCCAUGUGUAGCGGUGAAAUGCGCAGAGAUAUGGAGGAACACCAGUGGCGAAGGCGACUUUCUGGUCUGUAACUGACGCUGAUGUGCGAAAGCGUGGGGAUCAAACAGG
rnacentral:rRNA from 1 species